GGCAGCAGUGAGGAAUAUUGGUCAAUGGGCGAGAGCCUGAACCAGCCAAGUCGCGUGAGGGAAGACUGCCCUAUGGGUUGUAAACCUCUUUUAUAAGGGAAGAAUAAGUUCUACGUGUAGAAUGAUGCCUGUACUUUAUGAAUAAGCAUCGGCUAACUCCGUGCCAGCAGCCGCGGUAAUACGGAGGAUGCGAGCGUUAUCCGGAUUUAUUGGGUUUAAAGGGAGCGUAGGCGGGCUUUUAAGUCAGCGGUCAAAUGUCGUGGCUCAACCAUGUCAAGCCGUUGAAACUGUAAGCCUUGAGUCUGCACAGGGCACAUGGAAUUCGUGGUGUAGCGGUGAAAUGCUUAGAUAUCACGAAGAACUCCGAUCGCGAAGGCAUUGUGCCGGGGCAUAACUGACGCUGAGGCUCGAAAGUGCGGGUAUCAAACAGGAUUAGAUACCCUGGUAGUCCGCACGGUAAACGAUGAAUGCUCGCUAUGGGCGAUAUAUUGUCCGUGGCCAAGCGAAAGCGUUAAGCAUUCCACCUGGGGAGUACGCCGGCAACGGUGCAAGUCAAAUGAAUUGACGGA
rnacentral:rRNA from 1 species